rnacentral:rRNA from 1 species
AAUCAACGGCUGGCGGCGUGCCUAACACAUGCAAGUCGCACGAGAAAGGGGAGCGAAUCCCUGAGUAAAGUGGCGCACGGGUGAGUAACACGUGAAUCAUCUACCUCCGAGUGGGGAAUAACUGAGAGAAAUCUUAGCUAAUACCGCAUAACACUUACGAGUCAAAGCAGCAAUGCGCUUGGAGAGGAGUUCGCGGCCGAUUAGUUAGUUGGCGGGGUAAGG